rnacentral:rRNA from 1 species
CAAUAGCGUAUAUUAAAGUUGUUGCAGUUAAAAAGCUCGUAGUUGGAUCUCGGGUGCAGGCUAGCGGUUCCACUCUCGUGGACACUGCUCGUCCUGACCUCACUGGUCGGUCUCCUCUUGGUGCCCUUGACUGGGUGUCUCGAGUGGCCGGAACGUUUACUUUGAAAAAAUUAGAGUGUUCAAAGCAGGCAGUUCGCCUGAAUAAUGUUGCAUGGAAUAAUGGAAUAGGACCUCGGUUCUAUUUUGUUGGUUUUCGGAAAUCGACUUAAUGAUUAAUAGGGACAGUCGGGGGCAUUUGUAUUCAAACGACAGAGGUGAAAUUCUUGGACCGUUUGAAGACAAACUACUGCGAAAGC